UACACGAUAACCGCCAGU
rnacentral:piRNA from 1 species